AAGAGCGCAGAAGCAGCUCACCGUCGAUAUCCCUGCUUAGACACAGGGGUAUUUAAGUAUUUUCGCAUAGCUUUUGUGUUCCCUGCGCUUACACGUGUGCUGAAUUUUGGUGAGUAAGCGGGCUAUGAGAUAUUUGUCGAUGUUUUCUAUGAAAUUUCAUCGGAUUUUACUUAGCUCCAUCAUCUCUUCUCCUCUAUAUCGUCUAUCGAGUUUUCUCCGUGAGCCUUUGCUGGAUUUCUCAAUAACAAUACGUCUGGUUGUAUCAUUGUGAAGAAAUGGUGUUUAUAACAACAUAAAGCCACCUGUAGCUUAAGCCCCAAAGUUAACUCCUUCUCACUGUUAUAUUGAUAAAAUGGAAGAAAGAUUUAGCAUCAGUGAAAUUGCACCACUAACUACAGAAUGGACUUGCAAAGUCCAGGCUGUAGACAAAUUUCGACCGCGAUACAACAGAGAUUAGCAAGUUCGUUUUCAGACAAUAAUUGUCCAGGAUGAAAGCGAGGAAAAAAUUUGUGUAAUACUGUAUGGUGACGACAUUAGACGAUGUGAUAACUUGUUCGAACUUUUUGAGAUGUAUCUGAUUUCAACUGCCAAGGUUAGAAAUCCGCAGCCUUAUUCACUACAUAUCAACCAGUUUGAAUGGGUCGUCGACAGGUUCAUGGAGUCUAUGCCAAAGAAUAAUGAAAAGGAGGCACCGUUACCUCCUCCGUCGAGACUGAGUACCAUGACGUUCCUCGAUGUUGAACAAUAGCAUUGCGGUGUUGAAUUUGAUCUAUUAGCCGUGGUGGCAAACUGUGGGGCAAUGCAAUACACCUUUGAUCAGACUAAGAGAUUUCAAGAGGCCAUAGUUAUGGACAACAUGUGAAGUCAUUUAAUCUUCUAUUACAUAACAAAAUCUCUAGCUGACACUUCCAAAUGUACAGGAAGAAACCUAUUUUCUUCACUAUAUAGGAAGACUUGGCAAGCAAUGAAGGAACUGAGUUACUGAGACAAGUAAGGCAACUACAAGAA